AGUGAACGCUGGCGGUAGGCCUAACACAUGCAAGUCGAACGGCAGCACAGUAAGAGCUUGCUCUUACGGGUGGCGAGUGGCGGACGGGUGAGGAAUACAUCGGAAUCUACUUUUUCGUGGGGGAUAACGUAGGGAAACUUACGCUAAUACCGCAUACGACCUACGGGUGAAAGCAGGGGAUCUUCGGACCUUGCGCGAUUGAAUGAGCCGAUGUCGGAUUAGCUAGUUGGCGGGGUAAAGGCCCACCAAGGCGACGAUCCGUAGCUGGUCUGAGAGGAUGAUCAGCCACACUGGAACUGAGACACGGUACAGACUCCUACGGGAGGCAGCAGUGGGGAAUAUUGGACAAUGGGCGCAAGCCUGAUCCAGCCAUACCGCAUGGGUGAAGAAGGCCUUCGGGUUGUAAAGCCCUUUUGUUGGGAAAGAAAAGCAGCAGGUUAAUACCCCGCUGUUCUGACGGUACCCAAAGAAUAAGCACCGGCUAACUUCGUG
rnacentral:rRNA from 1 species